rnacentral:tRNA from 1 species
GGCCUUGUAGUGAAGUUCACGGUGAGUUGCAAACUCAUUAAUGUACAUUAGACGUGUAUCAGGGUCU